rnacentral:rRNA from 1 species
GGGUGCUCGAGUGGCGAACGGGUGAGUAACACGUGAGUAACCUGCCCUUGACUUUGGGAUAACUUCAGGAAACUGGGGCUAAUACCGGAUAGGAGCUCCUGCUGCAUGGUGGGGGUUGGAAAGUUUCGGCGGUUGGGGAUGGACUCGCGGCUUAUCAGCUUGUUGGUGGGGUGGUGGCUUACCAAGGCUUUGACGGGUAGCCGGCCUGAGAGGGUGACCGGCCACAUUGGGACUGAGAUACGGCCCAG